CAGGGAUGGGAAUCAAUAAUAGGAGACUUAAAGAAACUAAUGAUAUUUGAGAAGAAAAUACUAAAGAGGAUAUUCGGCCAUAAAAAGAUCAAUGAAAACAAUAAAUAUCUAUAAAGGAUAAAGAAAAGGACAAACGCAGUUUAAAGGCAAACAUUUAACGAAACCGAUAAAGUAGGUGUCAUGAAAAGUCGAAGUCAUAGCUAGG